UCCAGACUCCUACGGGAGGCAGCAGUGGGGAAUAUUGCACAAUGGGGGAAACCCUGAUGCAGCGACGCCGCGUGAGCGAAGAAGUAUUUCGGUAUGUAAAGCUCUAUCAGCAGGGAAGAAAAAAAUGACGGUACCUGAGUAAGAAGCACCGGCUAAAUACGUGCCAGCAGCCGCGGUAAUACGUAUGGUGCAAGCGUUAUCCGGAUUUACUGGGUGUAAAGGGAGCGUAGGCGGCGCGUUAAGUCUGAUGUGAAAACCCGGGGCCCAACCCCGGGACUGCCCUUGGAACUGCAUGGCUGGAGUGCGGGAGGGGCAGGCGGAAUUCCUGGUGUAGCGGUGAAAUGCGUAGAUAUCAGGAGGAACACCGGCGGCGAAGGCGGCCUGCUGGACCGCGACUGACGUUGAGGCUCGAAAGCGUGGGGAGCGAACAGGAUUAGAUACCCCCGUACCU
rnacentral:rRNA from 1 species